UGCAUGGCUAACGUUUUUGAGUAGAAUUCGAUAAUGUCGCAGCUUAGAACUAUCAACUUGGACAAUGAUUUCAUCUGGUUUAUCUGGUGCUUUGGCUUUGAGUCCCCGCUUUCAAACCUCACCUCCAGCUUGUUCUUGAUUGUUUGCUUGAGGGCAAGCAAAGACUAAGUUUGGGGGAGUUGAUAAGUGUGCAUUUGACAUGUUUUGAGCAUCCAUUUGUUAUCAUUGUUGCAUCAUAUCACCACUGUUUUAUACUAUUUCUCAUCAUUUGUCAUCACUUUGCAUGUUUAGGAUAGUUUUGCAUGCAUGUUGCAUAUUUGUGUUGAUUUCAGGUUAUUUGGAGCUGUUGACGGGCUAAUUGGAAGAAGCGGACCUGAUCAUGUCAAACCACUCGACCCCCAGGUCGAGUAGAUGCUCCACGACAUCAAAGGACCACUCGACCCCCUGGUCGAGUAGAAGACUUCACCACUUGACCACCUGGCCGAAUACCACCAUGAGAGUCACUCAAUCACUUCACUCGACCACCAGGUCGAGUAUCAUCACCUCCACCACCUGACCAUCACUCGAUCACACCACUCUACCAAGAAGUUGAGUAUCACCAUCACCAUCACUCGACUACAUACUCGAUUGCCAGCUUCAGAGUCUUCUCCAUUCCGCACUCAACCAGACACUCAAGCACAAGGAAGAAAAGAAGACUCCAGCUAAUCACUCGACCACCCACUCGACCACCUGGGUCGAGUACUGUUCUUAAUCCAUCCCAAUACUACGUCGUUUUGAGUAUUAGGGUUUCAGAAAUAUUUCGCUAUAAGUAGCAUGUACUUUACAUUUUUGUU
rnacentral:sRNA from 1 species